ACUCUCUCUACUCACAUCUAAACCAGUCAAAUUAAAAAAAGGAAACCUAACAUCACUCCCCCUCUGCUCUUUCAACACUCCUCUCCCAAAAUACAGAGGCUCCGCCAUUUCCAAAACAAAAAAAAUAGCAUGUCUCGCAUGCCUCGCUUCUCAUCCAUGAUCUACCGUUGGUUUUGAGCAGAUUCUAUAAUAUCCGUUGAUUUGAACGCGUCUAAAAUCAGUGUUAUUCUAUCACAACAUUGAUUGUUCCUUACACCUUCAAUGUCGCGGUUGGUAGUUUUUUUAUGUAUCUGGUAUUGAAGCCUUGGGUAAGAAAAUCGACAAAGUCGAACAGGGACUUCAAGAGAUGAUAACUAGCGAGUUGUUGGUGCUUCUUACUGACAAAGACCCGGUUAUGAUUCAAAACUUAAAAGGAAUAAAGUAAGAUUAUUCAGUGAUACGAUCUGGAAUUGGAUAGGAAAUUGAAUGCUUAUGAGAUUGGUACAUAAUUCUGAGAUAUGAAUACUUAACAAUUGGAUAGAAGUUAAUUACAAGUAUUAGAAAAUUACAUUUUAGUCCAAUUAUCUAUUUAGUAGAAGAAGUACUAUUUACACGUUGUAUUUUCUAUUUUAUAGUCUUGAUCCUGGUCCUCUAGAUAUCAAGUGGGCAUUUGUAAGGAGCUAAGCUUCCAUUUUAUAUCAUGAAUGAAAUUAUACUUUACUUUUUGCCCUAGUUUUCCUUUCUUUUCUUAGCUUAGUUUAGCCGUAGUUAGCUUUUAUUCCUUUGAAUUUUAGCUUUUCGUAUCAGCGGAAUCAGAGCGUCGAACUUGCUCUGUGGGUAUUCUUGAAGAGAUGACAUCGGAUAUGGAGAAGAUAAGAGAGUUGGUGCCUUGGUGGAAAAAUUAAAUUCCCAAAUAUCCAGUUUAAAUAGCAUUUAUGACAGAAUGGAGAAUAGAUUAAGGGACAAUAGAUUAAUGAGAUUU
rnacentral:lncRNA from 1 species